rnacentral:tRNA from 1 species
CAACGAGUAGUUUAUAUGAGAAUAUUAAUUUUGGGUAUUAAAGGUGUGGAAUUUUCAUCUUGUUGA